UUAAAGGCUAUGAUAGGGAGAAAAACACUGCGUAAAUCACGCUACAGAGAGCUGUUGUCCGCUGAAAGACAGCGCGUUGAUGCGGUUGUUAACUCGCCCUUGAGCUGUUAUGCUGAAAGCGGUAGUUGCCGUGAUUAGGUAUUGCCGGGUUUCUCGCCGUUACCAUGAGAGGGCAUUAAUUUUGAUGCUGCUAAGGUGGGUUAGUUAUAACCAAUUAGAGUGGUACCGCGGAAGUGUUAAGCUUUCGUCUCUUGU
rnacentral:ncRNA from 1 species